rnacentral:lncRNA from 1 species
GGAGUUUUUUCAGAUUUAUUUAAUAUUUCUACAGAGAAUGGAUAAAUCACAAUUUACAAUUCCAGCAUGAAACAAUAUCUUGAAGUCACACUUAUGAGGAAACAAGUUAAAUAUACUGAACCCCCAGAGACUCUAUACCAUUUUGAAAUAGGCAUGAGACUCAUCCAUUGUGAUUCUUCAGAUUUGGCAGAAAUGUAGCAAAAGGGAAUUUAUUUCGUACUGAAGGCUAGAGAUAAUUUGUUUCAACACCAGGGAAAGGGUCCUCAGGAAUGAACGCACUCUGAUACUCUUGCUAGAAUAAGAUGGUAUUCACCUAAUUAGACAUAGUUAUCAACUGAAAAUCAGUAGCCAUCUAUUUGUACAUGUCCUCUACCUAUUACCUAGCACACUCUUUACCCUCCUUUUUCUCUGUGCCUGGCCUUACAAAGGGUACUUCCCCAAGGAGGAUUCCCUACCCCGACUGCCUAGGUAGUUACAAGGUAGUACAGUGCCCAGUGACACAGACACUCAAAAAGUAUUUGUCAUAUGAAUGCAAUAAUGGAAGUCUGUUUUUAAAUUUUCUUUUUCAGUUUUCCAAUUUAAUAGGACAAUUGUCCUACUCUUCUCUGACAAAUAGGUUGUUUUUAUGAUGCUCCACAGUGAGAUUUAAUAUCAUUUCAGAUUAUAUCAACAAAAAGUUAAGCAAACGACCACGUUGAGUUCCAACAGCAUAUUCCAUAUUACUAGGGUUGGAAAUUUAGAGUCUAGUGGUAUUAAAAUUAAAAUUCUAAUUCAAAAAUUCUCACAUCUUAGUUUUAUGACACUCCAAUCAAUGUCUUCAUUUAUCCCAAGAUUGAAGAAUUGCUUGUCCUUUUCUUUUCUUUUCUUUUCUUUUCUUUUCUUUUGACAUAGAGUCUCGCCGUGUCGCCCAGGCUGGAGUGCAGUGGUGUGAUCUCAGCUCACUGCAAUCUCCGCCUCCUGGGUUCAAGUGAUUCUCCUGCCUCAGCCUCCCGAGUAGUUGGGAUUACAGGUGUCCACCACCAUGCCCGGCUAAUUUUUGUAUUUUUAGUAGAGAUGGGGUUUCACCAUGUUGGCCAGGCUGGUCUUGAACUCUUCACCACAGGUGAUCCACCCACCUCAGCCUCCCAAAGUUCUGGGAUUACAGGUGUGUGCCACUGCGCCCAGCCUGAAUUGCUUGUCCUUUUAAAUUAACUUUUUAUUAUAAAAGACAAACUCAUUGUGGAAAAUCUGUAAAUGACAGAAAAAGAGAGAAGAUAAAAAUUAUCCACGUAUGAAAUUGUUAAUAGUGUAUUUGCUUUCAAUCCUUUCUCUAUGUACACAACUUUGAAAUUAUUCUGAAUAUAGUUAUGUAUCCUGUUUUUUCACUAGAAAAUGAAUCUUAAGCACUUUUUAAAAUUUAAAAAAGUAAUACCUGUUCAUAAAAAUGUUUUUUAUGUCCCACUCCAAUCUCAAACCUUAGCAGUAACAACUUGAACUGCAAGAUGUAUAUUCUUUUCUUUUCUUUUUCAGACAGGGUCUUCCUCUGUUGUUCAGGGUGGAGUGCAGUGGCAUCAUCUUGGCUCACUGCAACCUCCACCUCCUCCCACCUCAAGUGAUCCUCCCACCCCAGCCUCCCAAAUAGUUGGGACUACAGGUGCGUGCCACCACGCCCGGCUGAUUUUUGUAUGUC